rnacentral:lncRNA from 1 species
GAACGGUCGUAUCUGGUCCAAAUCGCAAAACGUUCGCAAACCUUUCAGAACUAAAAACAUAUGUAUAGUCUUCAAAAUAACAGCAAGACGUCGCCAAAGUUAGAAUCAAGACUAUACGAACAACUGUCCAAACGCGACCGUAAAAUUUCAACGAAUAUUUACAUCCUGCUCGUCGAUUGGCCCCGACGAACACAUCAGCCGUCUUAAACGAACGCACCCUGAUCAUUCUUCUCAAAAAAGAAAUGAUCCUCAAACAUCCGACACAAGGACAAAAGCGCGCUAUAUAAAAAAAUCGAAAUUUUGGUCAAGCACUUCCAGUUGGCUUAAAAAUUGUCUCUGGAGAGAUGCUCUAUUCAUACCAUACAAUUCGUAUAAGCCGAGAACCUAUCACGGACUUUAAAUCUGUACGAAUCAGGUUGAAAUCGCAAAAGGAAAAUCGAUAGCCGGCUAGUCACCGCAUAAACCUUAAAACCGAAAGUAAACCUAGGUCUUGCCCUAAACCCAACACACUGGUC